rnacentral:rRNA from 1 species
GACGAACGCUGGCGGCGUGCUUAACACAUGCAAGUCGAACGGAAAGGCCCUGCUUUUGUGGGGUGCUCGAGUGGCGAACGGGUGAGUAACACGUGAGUAACCUGCCCUUGACUUUGGGAUAACUUCAGGAAACUGGGGCUAAUACCGGAUAGGAGCUCCUGCUGCAUGGUGGGGGUUGGAAAGUUUCGGCGGUUGGGGAUGGACUCGCGGCUUAUCAGCUUGUUGGUGGGGUAGUGGCUUACCAAGGCUUUGACGGGUAGCCGGCCUGAGAGGGUGACCGGCCACAUGGGGACUGGGAUACGGCCCAGACUCCUACGGGGGGCAGCGGUGGGGAAUAUUGAACAAGGGGCGGAGGCCGGAUGCAGCAACGCCGGGUGCGGAAUGACGGCCUUCGGGUUGUAAACCGCUUUCGCCGGUGACGAAGCGUGAGUGACGGUAAUGGGUAAAGAAGCACCGGCUAACUACGU